UACAGAGGGGGCAAGCGUUGUUCGGAAUUACUGGGCGUAAAGGGCGCGUAGGCGGCCUGCUAAGUCGAACGUGAAAUCCCUGGGCUCAACCCAGGAACUGCGUCCGAUACUGGUUGGCUUGAAUCCGGGAGAGGGGACGUGGAAUUCCAGGUGUAGCGGUGAAAAUGCGUAGAUAUCUGGAGGAACACCGGUGGCGAAGGCGACGUCCUGGACCGGCAUUGACGCUGAGGCGCGAAAAGCCAGGGGAGCAAAGCGGGG
rnacentral:rRNA from 1 species